ensembl:lncRNA
CUUGGAGAUAAUGGGGUCUGUUUGCUUGUUUGCUCAUUUUUAGAGUGAAUUCGAGAGAACUUUUCCCAUGAUGUCAAAGAAUGGUCAAAGACCGGCGCUCCCCGCUGACCACUUCUGCCUGUUAAAUUCACACACUGGACUUUGGGGCCAGUUUUGUCAGAAAGCAUGACUUCAUAGCAGUGGCAGCGUGGCAAAGGUCUAGCAGAGCUUUAAGCCUGGAUAAACAGCCCAGUGGGAAUACCUCUCCUUCCUCUGUUUUUUCAGCUCAUGCAUUUGUUACUACUCAUUCCCACUCGAUGGAGCAGCGGUGCGCAUGCUGUCAAACCAGUUUUGGGCAGUCACGCCUCUACAGUUGACUGGCAUGGCACCAUGGAAACCAAAAAAUGGUGCGCCAAGGAUGGGAAAGAGACUUUCGGGGAAGUUCCAAAAGCCGAUCCGACUGAAAGCAUAGGCUUUGUGGACUCUCACCGAGAUCAAAGGAGGAUCAACAAACAGUUGUGUAAGGAGAGUCUGAGGGGGGGAAGUGGAAAGUCUUUCAGAUAUCUCUCCAGAUUAAUUCCUAUGGAGGUGAGGAGCACCCUACUGUCAGUAACACUUCAGGAGAACAGGACAAAACACACAGCAACUCAAAUUAAACUCUACUCAUCUGGCAAGAUUUGGGGAUUAGUUUACAUGACACAGUUUUCAACCAAAAACUGAACAUUUUGUAUGUGUUUUGGCCAUUUAUUUACACGACAAUAGUGUUUUGGGGGCCUUUGAAAAAGUUUUUGAAAAGGACUCCAUGUCUCCAUGAAUAUGUUUAAAUGUAAAAACUGGGAAGUUUUUUUAUUUGUGUUUUUCGCACAAUGCUGUCUAAACGAUCCCCAUUCACACGAAUCCGUGAAAACAACUUAAAAUGCUGUAUCAUGCAUUGCCAGUAGUUGGCGAUGUCAUUUUGUAAAGAAACACUUUGUGCACACAUAACACGUAUGCACAUCAGGGUGUACCUGUUUUAGCUUAUUAACAUUGUGUGUAUAUGAAAUAGAUGCUGACACGGUCAUCAGAGGCAGAAAUGUUUAAGUCAACACAACCCUCUUAUGUAAUAUUCGAGUGGCGAAUUAUAUUUUGUGCUUACAUUGGAGAUGCAUUAGAAUAAAGGUCAUAAAAUAUUUUAAUGCUACUGUGUU